rnacentral:rRNA from 1 species
GAUGAACGCUGGCGGCGUGCUUAACACAUGCAAGUCGAACGAAGCACUUUAUUUGAUUUCCUUCGGGACUGAUUAUUUUGUGACUGAGUGGCGGACGGGUGAGUAACUCGUGGGUAACCUGCCUUGUACAGGGGGAUAACAGUUGGAAACGGCUGCUAAUACCGCAUAAGCGCACAGCAUCGCAUGAUGCAGUGUGAAAAACUCCGGUGGUAUAAGAUGGACCCGCGUUGGAUUAGCUAGUUGGUGAGGUAACGGCCCACCAAGGCGACGAUCCAUAGCCGACCUGAGAGGGUGACCGGCCACAUUGGGACUGAGACACGGCCCAAACUCCUACGGGAGGCAGCAGUGGGGAAUAUUGCACAAUGGGCGAAAGCCUGAUGCAGCGACGCCGCGUGAGCGAAGAAGUAUUUCGGUAUGUAAAGCUCUAUCAGCAGGGAAGAUAAUGACGGUACCUGACUAAGAAGCACCGGCUAAAUACGUG